GACGAACGCUGGCGGCGUGCUUAACACAUGCAAGUCGAACGGAAAGGCCUGCUUUCCCUUGUGGAUUGCGGGUACUCGAGUGGCGAACGGGUGAGUAACACGUGAGUGAUCUGCCCCCAACUUGGGUAUAAGCCUGGGAAACUGGGUCUAAUUCCCGAUAGGACUGCAGGGUGGUGCCUGUGGUGGAAAACGAUUUUCUAGUGGUUGGGGAUGAGCUCGCGGCCUAUCAGCUUGUUGGUGGGGUAAUGGCCUACCAAGGCGGCGACGGGUAGCCGGCCUGAGAGGGUGGACGGCCACAUUGGGACUGAGAUACGGCCCAGACUCCGACGGGAGGCAGCAGUGGGGAAUAUUGCACAAUGGGCGGAAGCCUGAUGCAGCGACGCCGCGUGGGGGAUGACGGCCUUCGGGUUGUAAACUCCUUUCGACCGCGAGGAAGCCACCUGGUUGGAAGGGUGGUGACGGUAGCGGUAGAAGAAGCACCGGCUAACUACGUG
rnacentral:rRNA from 1 species